rnacentral:rRNA from 1 species
GGAUCCGCACAAGCGGUGGAGCAUGUGGUUUAAUUCGACAAUAAGCGAGGAACCUUACCUAGACUUGACAUUCAAUUGCACGUCCGGGGAAACUCGGAUUCUUUCGAAGGUAUUGAACAGGUGCUGCAUGGUUGUCGUCAGCUCGUGUCGUGAGACGUAUGGUUAAGUCCCUUAACGAGCGCAACCCCUGUCCAGUGUUACUAAUUUCACUGGAGACUGUCACGGAUAACGUGGAGGAAGGUGGGGACGACGUCAAAUCAGCAUGGCUCUUACGUCUAGGGCUACACACGUGCUACAAUGGCCGGUACAAUGGGCCGCGAAGUCGCAAGAUGGAGCUAAUCCCACCAAAACCGGUCUCAGUUCGGAUAGAGGUCUGCAACUCGACCUCUUGAAGUUGGAAUCGCUAGUAA